ensembl:lncRNA
CAGUGACUGCAGAUUCACUCCCACUUUGCACCUGGACUAGUGGUUCAGUGAGUCUAAUGCAUACAAGUAUAGCUUAGCAAUAAAUAUACAAGGGAAUUUAAAAGGUUAUUAUAUCGAAGUGUCUUUUGUUGUUAUUAUGAAUGAUUUCUGAAGGGUUUAGCACAUGCUUAGCAUUUGAAAAAAAAAAAAACCUGAAAAAUAAUAUUAGUGGAAUUAUGCUUCUCUUCAUCACGUAUUGAAGCAUACCUUUAUACUAGUGCAUACUAGUGCAGUUCUUUUACAGCUGCACACUUUGGAGAUGUGAAAAGAGCGAAAAUAUGAAGCUCUUAAAAAUGCUCCUGAAAGUGACAAUGAUGACAAUGGCACACAUUACACUCAUGUAUUGCAAUAGCUGGAGUGCUGUACAAAACGUAAAAUGGCACUGACAGUAAUAGUCAACAGGUGGCAUUGUAGCACAACUAAUAAAUGGCACAUAUACCAAAAAUAUACAGUUUGAUAAUAUCACAGAAUGAAGUAAACUGUGCAGGUGCUACUUAAGAAUAUCAUAUUAUUAUAGAUCCAUCCAAAAUACAUCUGUAAACAUGUUUUUAGUGUAGAACCUUAAAGAACAUUUAGACAUGGACACUGCUAAAUACACAAUUCACAGUUAGUUACCAAAAAAAAAAUUCAAUUACAAAAUUUUGAGUCAGAGUUUCCUUACUAUGAUUACAGAAAAUACAAAUACAGUUGUCAGUACACUUUACAAACUUUUGUUCAAAUACGGUAAACUUGAGCUGUCAGAAUUCCCCUUUGGUGACAUCACUUCCUCGAUUGUCUUUAUUAUCUCAUCAACUGUAACUACCCACAGCAGAGUCUCAUACUGUAGCAGGGAAACAGCAUGAAUACGAUUCUACUAAGUUUCUCUGUCACAUUUAUGUGGCUCACAGGUACCACUUUUGGUAACAUUGUUCACCAGACUCCUUCUAAAUCAAUAAAGGACCGAGACAAAUCAGCUGUGUUCAUAUGUUCACACGAUAUAGCAAGUUAUUUCCAAAUGAUGUGGUACAAACAAACCCAGAGCACCCUGGAAUUAAAACUAAUGGGAAUCCUUAAUGGUGAAAAUGAUCAAAUAGAAACAGAAUUUAAAAACAAGAUUUUUCUGAAUGGAAACGGAAGGCGUAACGGCACUCUAACAAUUAAAACCCUCACAGUGAAUGACAGUGCGGUGUAUUUCUGUGCAGCAUAUGACACAGUGCUCUAAACUCCCUCCGUCUAAUACAAAAACUUGGCACUGUUACAGAAAUAGUUUAUCAACAAAAAGAUCCAGCCUUUGCUUUCUAACUAUAUUUGUCGCAACCUUUUGAUUCUUUGCCAAUAAUGAGCAAUAAUGAGAUGUGGGUGUAAAAGAAAAUAUCUUACCAGUGUGUGAUUCUAAGCAAUUAUUAUUGCUUGUGCUUACUAAAGAAAGCAUCAUUAUUACUCACACUUCCUAAUAUUAAUGACUGGUCAUUUACACAAACCCUUCAAAGUGAGGUGAAUGAAUGAAGCAUUUACAUAGAGCUGUAUUGUGUAUUGCUGUACACCCAAAGCACUUUACAAUCAUAUCAUGGGAUCUCUCCUCAACCACCAGCAGUGUGCAGCAUCCACCUGGAGUACAGAGUACAACGGCACCAGCGCACUCACCACUCACCAGCUAAAGGUGGAGAAGAGAGAGACAGAUAUUUGAAUUAGAAAAAAAUAUUUUAUUAAUAAUCAGAGCUUGGAGUAAUAAUAUGCAUAUUAUUAUUCGUUACUGUAACCACCUAUGAUGUCAUAUCCUGUUCAACAAAAGCUAGAGUUUGAAGCAGUUCAAAGGUUGAGACUCACUCUCCCAUCAAAACUCAACAUGACUAGUGCUAUUAUUACAUUGAUUCUGUUCCUGCGCUGCAGUCUAGGUAUGUACAACUUUAUAGCAACUGAAACAAUAACCUGACAUUCUUAUUAAUUAAAUUUAAUUUUGUCCACAGCUGCUGUUGGUGGAGAUGAUGUUUUUCAAGAGCCUAAAAUUCUCUGGGAACCAAAGAACGGUUCUGCUUCUUUGAAUUGCAAUCACAAAAAGCCUAUUUCAUACAACCAGAUGUACUGGUACCGACAGCGUCCAGGAGAAACUAUGAGGCUCAUUGUAUUCACUGUGGCUGGUGGUAAUCCAGAAUUUGGAGAUGUUGAAAAGAAGAAAUAUGAAGCUCACAAAAGUGUUGCUGUAAGUGGAUCAUUGAAAGUGAAAGAUCUCGAGCCAGACGACAGUGGCAUAUAUUUCUGUGCCGUGAGUCAACACAGUGUGUCAAAGGCUGGAGAAUGCUGUACAAAAACAUUCGGUGCAGAAAAAGACAAUGACAGCAUUAGUCAACAGGUGGCAGUCUGGUAUAACAAUAAGCAACAUUUCAAAACAGUCGAACUGAAAAAAAUAAAAAAAAUAAACGCUUGUUUAUAGAAUAGAGAAGUGCAAAAACAUGUGCCAAGGAUGGCCAAACAAUACAUAACAAUUAUAAUUAGGAUAUAAAGAGAGAAGAGAAAAAAAACCUUAAAAAAAAAAAAAAAAAAAAAACAUUAUAUUAUAAUAACCAAUAUUUCAUACAGAGUAUAAUAUUAUUAAAAUAGAAAUUAUACAAAAAUUCCAAAAAGUGAUCAUAAAUUCAAGGUUUUAGUUGCCUUUUAUUACAGGAGGUUGAAAAAUAUUCAAUAUAGGCUUUUUCAUUUCAUUUUAUUGCCUUGUAUUUUCAGGGUUUGUAUUUUCAGGGUCUGAAAUUAACAUAGUCGUUUAUUUAAGCUGUGAAUAUUUCACUUCAAAACAUUUCACACACAAUCAUAAUAACAAAAAAAAAAAAAUCAAUGAUUCAUAUUCACCUUCC